AAUAAGUGACGUUUUUACUUCUAGACUUCUUGUUUGACCAUUUAUCUUAUUUAAAAAUUUUAUAUAAAUAUUAUUUAUUUUGUUAUGACAUGUUAUAUCAUUAUAGAUUCUUUAACAAUGACUUAUUUAUUUUAUUAUUUGUACAAAAAAUUGAAUAAGAUGAAUGGUCAAACAAGAAGUUGAAAAGUAAAAAACUUCACUUGUU
rnacentral:pre_miRNA from 1 species